AUUUGAACAAGAAGAUUUCUGACCUCAUGCUAAAGGAAUCCAGACAAGCAAGCCCCCAAGUAUAGGCAGAAUUGGAUGAAUUUGACCAAGGAGAACAUCAUGAUGGUAGAAGAGGGUUAUAUGUUCAAGUUGGCAAAGUAAUUCACCAGCAGAAUUCCAGAAAGAGCCUGAGUCCAAAACAAAAUGAUCCUGUGGAACCAUCUGUUCUCCAGCUGCACAGACAGUUCCCUAAAAUGACAACACACAGAGAGGCAGAGACAUAGGGCCUGAUGCAGGACUCGAUCCCAG